GUGCAUCCAGUGGUUCCAUACC
rnacentral:miRNA from 1 species